UACGAAGGGGGCUAGCGUUGCUCGGAAUCACUGGGCGUAAAGCGCACGUAGGCGGAUUGCUAAGUCAGGGGUGAAAUCCUGGAGCUCAACUCCAGAACUGCCUUUGAUACUGGCGACCUUGAGUCCGGGAGAGGUGAGUGGAACUGCGAGUGUAGAGGUGAAAUUCGUAGAUAUUCGGAAGAACACCAGUGGCGAAGGCGGGGUCUCUGGGCCGAUACUGACGCUGAGGAGCGAAAGCGUGGGGAGCGAACAGG
rnacentral:rRNA from 1 species